rnacentral:rRNA from 1 species
UCGAGAAUCUUCGGCAAUGGGCGCAAGCCUGACCGAGCGACGCCGCGUGCGGGAUGAAGGCCCUCGGGUUGUAAACCGCUGUCGGAGGGGAGGAAAUGCCAAGGGGUUCUCUUCUUGGUUUGACCUAUCCUCAAAGGAAGUACGGGCUAAGUUCGUGCCAGCAGCCGCGGUAAGACGAACCGUACAAACGUUAUUCGGAAUUACUGGGCUUAAAGGGUGCGUAGGCGGCCCUGAAAGUUGGGUGUGAAAUACCUCGGCUCAACCGAGGAAUUGCGCUCAAAACUACCGGGCUUGAGGAAGAUAGAGGUGAGCGGAACUUAGGGUGGAGCGGUGAAAUGCGUUGAUAUCCUAAGGAACACCGGUAGCGAAAGCGGCUCACUGGGUCUUUUCUGACGCUGAGGCACGAAAGCUAGGGGAGCGAAGAG